CUUGGGUAAAAUCCAGGGAAAGAGAACAAUCAGCGACUUGUUCCACCCGGGGUAGAACUUGGCAGGAACUCUCGGAAUCGCUGUCACCACCUUUUCCACUCCAAGGCAGUUCAUAAAUGUCUACAUUUCCAUGGUACGUCUUGGAGGCUGCACGAGGGAGAGAGAACCGGUAACCCUCAUACCUACAGAAAUGUACAGGACUUCCCUGGUGGCGCAGUGGUUAAGAAUCCGCCUGCCAAAGCAGGGGACACGGGUUCGAGCCCUGGUCCGGGAAGAUCCCACAUGUCACGGAGCACCUAAGCCCAUGAGCCACAACUACUGAGCCCGUGCGCCACAACGACUGAAGCCCGCAUGCCUAGAGCCCGUGCUCCGCAACAAGAGAAGCCACCGCAAUGAGAAGCCCGCACACCGCAACGAAGAGGAGUCCCCGCUCGCCGCAACUAGAGAAAGCCUGCGUGCAGCAACGAAGACCCAACGCGGCCAUAAAUAAAUAAAUAAAUAAGCAAAUAAAUAAAUAAAAAUAAUAAAAAGAAAUGUGCAGUGGA